rnacentral:lncRNA from 1 species
CGGCCGCGCGCUCUCCAGCCCUGCGCCUCUUUUGUGUGGCUGCGGCGCGCCGGGCUCCGCCGGGUGGAGUUGAGCCCGCGGCGGCUGCUCCGGGCGGCCGGACUGGCGGCUGUUGCUAAGAGACCGGAGCCAUGACACAGGGAAAUUGCGGCAGGAUGGCAGGAAACUACAGUUUUCCUAUUUAUUGUGUUAAAUACACAUAUGACCCCACGCGCAGAGGAGAGGAAUUAAGAAAGAUCCUACGUUAUAGCUGUUCCUGCAAAAGAUCUCUCAUCAGAACGGACUGUUCUGUUUAAAGGCUUACUCUAGGAGAAUGAAAACCACCAGGACGCACUACUUCGUUUCCUCAGCCAUGAAGGAAUGGAAGGAAGGACUUGGAGUGUCACAGCUGAACCCACAAGGGAGGACUGCCAGCCAACUUGGAGUCUAGAAGCUGUGCUCCUCAGCUUGGACUUCAGGGCUCCAUCAGCAGUUCUGGUUCCUUGACUUUCUGUUCCCAUCUCUACUGGCCUGUGGGGACACUAGGGUUGUGAUGGUUUCUAUAUGCUUGGUGGUCCGGGGAGUGGCAUGAUUAGAAGGUAUGGCCCUGUUGGAGUAGGAGUGACCCUGUGGGUGUGGGCUAUAAGACCCUUAUCCUA